rnacentral:rRNA from 1 species
CAGUGAUAAACUGGAGGAAGGUGGGGAUGACGUCAAGUCAUCAUGGCCCUUACGACCAGGGCUACACACGUGCUACAAUGGCGCAUACAAAGAGAAGCGACCUCGCGAGAGCAAGCGGACCUCAUAAAGUGCGUCGUAGUCCGGAUUGGAGUCUGCAACUCGACUCCAUGAAGUCGGAAUCGCUAGUAAUCGUGGAUCAGAAUGCCACGGUGAAUACGUUCCCGGGCCUUGUACACACCGCCCGUCACACCAUGGGAGUGGGUUGCAAAAGAAGUAGGUAGCUUAACCUUCGGGAGGGCGCUUACCACUUU